AGAGUUUGAUCAUGGCUCAGAUUGAACGCUGGCGGCAUGCUUUACACAUGCAAGUCGAACGGCAGCACAGGGAGCUUGCUCCCCGGGUGGCGUAGUGGCGCACGGGUGAGUAAUACAUCGGAACGUGUCCUGUUNUGGGGGAUAACUGCUCGAAAGGGUGGCUAAUACCGCAUGAGACCUGAGGGUGAAAGCGGGGGAUCGCAAGACCUCGCGCAAUUGGAGCGGCCGAUGCCCGAUUAGCUAGUUGGUGAGGUAAAGGCUCACCAAGGCGACGAUCGGUAGCUGGUCUGAGAGGACGACCAGCCACCACUGGGACUGAGACACGGCCCAGACUCCUACGGGAGGCAGCA
rnacentral:rRNA from 1 species